CUACGGGGGGCUCCAGUGGGGAAUAUUGGACAAUGGGGGAAACCCUGAUCCAGCAAUGCCGCGUGCGUGAAGAAGGACUUCGGUUUGUAAAACGCUUUUAUAAGGGAAGAUGAUGACGGUACCUUAUGAAUAAGCUCCGGCUAACUUCGUGCCAGCAGCCGCGGUAAUACGAAGGGAGCUAGCGUUGUUCGGAAUUACUGGGCGUAAAGGGCGUGUAGGCGGUUAGGAGCGUGAGAUGUGAAAGCCCUGGGCUCAACCCAGGAAUGGCAUUUCAUACGACUUAACUAGAGUGCGAGAGGGGGAAGCGGAAUGGCCAGUGUAGCAGUGAAAUGCGUUGAUAUUGGCUGGAACACCAGAGGCGAAGGCGGCUUUCUGGCUCGCAACUGACGCUGAGGCGCGAAAGCGUGGGGAGCAAACAGGAUUAGAUACCCCUGUAGUC
rnacentral:rRNA from 1 species